rnacentral:rRNA from 1 species
GACGAACGCUGGCGGCGUGCCUAAUACAUGCAAGUUGAGCGCGAAAGGCUGGUACUGGUACCGACUGGAUGAGCAGCGAACGGGAGAGUAACGCGUGGGGAAUCUGCCUUGGAGCGGGGGACAACAUUUGGAAACGAAUGCUAAUACCGCAUAAAAACUUUAAACACAAGUUGUAAGUUUGAAAGAUGCAAUUGCAUCACUCAAAGAUGAUCCCGCGUUGUAUUAGCUAGUUGGUGAGGUAAAGGCUCACCAAGGCGAUGAUACAUAGCCGACCUGAGAGGGUGGUCGGCCACAUUGGGACUGAGACACGGCCCAAACUCCUACGGGAGGCAGCAGUAGGGAAUCUUCGGCAAUGGGCGCAAGUCUGACCGCGCAACGCCGCGUGGGUGACGAAGGUUUUCGGGUCGUAAACCUCUGUUGGUAGAGAAGAACGUUGGUGAGAGUGGAAAGCUCCUCAAGUGACGGUAACUACCCAGAAAGCGCCGGCUAACUACGUG